GUCCCUGUAGCGCAAUGGAUGGUGUGUGUGUGUGCGUUGAACUUCUAAUCCAAAGGUCGUGGGGACGAAUUCCACCUGGGAUA